CCAAAGUGGGUACCCUGGGAGGUCACUCUCCCCGGGCUCUGUCCAGGUGGCAUAGGGGAGCAUAGGGUUCUGCCUUGUGAUGUACAGUUCCUUUCCACAAUGUUGGAGAGAAAGCCAGGCCUUGAGUCUGUGCUUGCAUAUUCCUACACCUUCUCAGAGUCUUUGGACAGUGACUGAGGAGACAAACCAUGCAGGAAACAUUU